CUGCCCCGUAUCUUCCUCUGGGUCCUAGUUUGGGCUUUGAAAUCAGGACUACAAGAUAGACAGUACAAGAACAGCAGAGAUGGAAGACAGCCUGCAGCAGUGCAAUGCUGAGCACGCCAGUCUCAUCUUAGAAGCCACUUGGAGGAGAAAAACACACACACAAUGUUUCCGAGCUAAGACAUCAAAUGCUUCCAGCUGAUGAAGAGACUCCCAGAUGAGAUUUUUAAAAGUAUGAGAAGAACUUCCGCAUCAGUCUACACAAGUGUGUAGAGGAGGCAACAUGUGAAUUGCAACCCUGGCAAGAAAAAUGAAGGCAACCACCAUAAAAUACUCUUCUAAAACCUAGACUCCUUUUCGAAUGCACACAGAAAAGAGAUCGUCACGUAUUUGUCUUUUUCUUCUGUGAUCCUUGCCUAGCGCCCUCGCCUCCAGGUUCAUCUGAGCUGCCGCGAAUACAGGAAGAAGUUCCUAACAAAGUGAAUCUUAAAACAGUGAGAGGAAGCUGUUCUGUGACCCAUGCAGAACAAAACAGCAAGCAAAAGAAAACACCGCAGGUCACAUCCUGAGGCGCAGAGAGGGGAGAAGCGUGCAGGCUACUGAGGGUGACAUUAUAGAGAAAACCAGAGCAAGAAGGUAACAACUGGAGCUGGGAAGACCAAAGAACCCUGAAAGCUACAAGAUCCCGUGAGUGUCUGGAAGAGGCCUUUGACAAUAGCCAUUUACAUGGACUCAAGCAAUCACAUUGCAGCCAGGGAGGCCAGGCAAAAACUCAGUUGCAUUGAGAAACAGUGGGUGCCUAACACUGGACAGGAUCACCAGGCUGAAGCAGGAAGGAGCCACGCAACUCUUUUUUUUUUUUAAUUAGGUAUUUUCCUCGUUUACAUUU
rnacentral:lncRNA from 1 species